CUUCACACAAUGUAGAAAAUCUUUAAUUUGUAGUCAAUUUAUCAAGUGUGGAAUAUUACUUGCCAGUUGCUAAAAGGUAAGAAAAAUCAAAACAACUUUUUUUAUGCUGUAAAUAUGCUGGAUAUGGUAUUGUGUUUCUAUUUGAUAUGUGUUUAGUUAUUUUUUAUAUUAUUUUUCUAUUAGAUGAUCCAGUGUAUUUGAUCCAUUUGUUUCACAGAGUUAAUGAGCGAGUUAUGGAACUGCCAUGCAGUGCACCACUUGUUUAAAUUCAGCUGUUGUGUGCAGUGUGGUUUCUCUUUGACGUGUUUAUACCCACAAGUGGCACGCGUGUCCUAGGUGAAGUUAUUCAGCAGAUGACAGAGGGAAGGUUUUUAAAGAAUCACACAAAGAAUUAUUAAAGGAAUUGAGGUUGUCAUGUUUUGAGUUCCUCUGAGGUCACAGUAUUUUGAGUUCACGGACCCACAGUGCCACCCAGUGACUGUAGCGAGAUUUGUCAUAUAAUCUAACUGAACUGUGUGUUCAUAGCAGCAGGUUCAUUGUAUGCAGUUAUUAAUUAAUAAGUUGUGACAUUCUGAGCCUAAAGAAAAUGAGAAAUAGUGUCUUAGACAUGGACAUGCACAAGUGAAUUUGUGUGGUAAUAACGUUCUACUUAAGUGUGAAAAUCUAUGAAAAUCUGGCCUAUCUGGCUUUAUGUAUUAAGUUAUUAUAUGGAAUGUGUAACUGUUUUCCUUUGUGUUUUUAUAUUUGUAAUCAGCUAAAAUAAAAUGACUGGAAGAAA